GCGCCCGCCCCCUCAACGGAAUCUUUCGCGGCUGUGGUCACCACUGUCGCCAACUUUUCGCAGAGCCAGGCGGCUGUGAUUUUGCAGGCGCUGCAAACAGCCGCCGCUGCGAGCGGCCCGCCACCACUGCCCCCCGCGGGUGCCGCAGCCUGCGGUGCGCCCGUGCCAGUGACAGACCAGGCCAGUGUGCAUGGGGACAGGGGAGCGGCGUCAGUUGUGCCGCAGUAUCGAGCGACCGGGCCCCCAGUCCCUGCUCCGUGUCGGUCCCUGGCCAGAGCUCCCGCGGCGUCGCCCCAGCCCGAGCCCCCCAAGCCAUGGGGAGACGCUCCAGGCCUCCGUGCUGCGCCCCUGCCGCCCCCCGCGCCUGUGGAUUCGCGGCAGUUCUCUCCCGCGGCCCCAGUCCCCGUGGACGCGGCCGCCAUUCUGCCUCGCCAUGCGGACCUCAUGACAUGCCCCACGCAUGCGUGAUUAACAAUCAACACAGAUGUUUUCUGUACCAAAAAGUAUUCAAUUCCUUUUAUCUUGGAAAUUUGACCAUAUAUGACAGCUGAGCGUAUUUUCAAAGGGAGUUUGGAGAAACAUGAAUCCGGAUAGGAUUUCUGCAAUUCUCAGUUGUUUUAAGGUUUAUCAGCUGCUGCAGACUCUGGGAUGACAAUUCAGUGUUGUAGUGCUUGGUACUAAGUCCAGGUGGAUUUCAGUGAAGAAUGUGAAACUCUAUCAAGUGCAACAAAAUGCUGACCACUCCACAAGCAGAGAAGAAGACACACAGAUGUGGACUGCACAGAGAAUCCAACCCUUGUGUUUCACCCACAGAAGAUUGUGGACAUUGGGUUUCUUCAUGGGUGUGGGAAUCAGUGAUAUUGUAGAAUUUUUGUUAGAUGAUAGCUUAAGUGAAAUAUGGGGUGUGGUCAAAUGUGUGUCUGACAGGUGAUUGACAAAGUUGUCAAUGCAGUGUUCAUGGUUCAAACAAGAGGAUGUUGGAAUCGUGGAUGCUGAGAAUUUUAGACUUUCUGUGCUGAAAGGCACAGACUCACAAGAGAACACUGCAUUUGACCUGAGGCUGUGGAGAAGACUUUAAAAAUUGAUUGAUAGUACUGGGAUUACUGGGUAUGUAGUUGGUUAGAAGCAUGUAAUAUCACAGGGUGGAAAACUUAAGAGUUUGGGAUUUUAGAAUAUAAAAAUAAAUGUGAAGCAAGAUGGAGGUUUUAGGGCGGAGCCAGGUUGUUCUUCUUUACCUUCUUCCUUCUUCUUCAUGGGUUUGGGUGAUGUUUUGUGAUUGGACAGAAAUGUCCACAUUGCGGACUUCAAGGGAUCAGUUAUUGGGUUAAAAGGGAAAAUAAUCUAGGUGCCAUUUCUUAAUUGGAUAGUUUAGUUUGAAAAGACCUUGUAACAACAGUUAGCCAUUUUGUGCUUUGCUGAUGAAAAAGCUGCCGAACUCACGGUAGUGAGACUGUAACAAAGAUAAGAAAUAAUAAACACCUGAGUCCGAACAUGAAA